rnacentral:rRNA from 1 species
CUCCCAACCCCUGUGACAUACCUUAAUGUUGCCUCGGCGGAUCAGCCCGCGCCCCGUAAAACGGGACGGCCCGCCAGAGGACCCAAACUCUAAUGUUUCUUAUUGUAACUUCUGAGUAAAACAAACAAAUAAAUCAAAACUUUCAACAACGGAUCUCUUGGUUCUGGCAUCGAUGAAGAACGCAGCAAAAUGCGAUAAGUAAUGUGAAUUGCAGAAUUCAGUGAAUCAUCGAAUCUUUGAACGCACAUUGCGCCCGCUGGUAUUCCGGCGGGCAUGCCUGUUCGAGCGUCAUUUCAACCCUCAAGCCCCCGGGUUUGGUGUUGGGGAUCGGCUCUGCCCUUCUGGGCGGUGCCGCCCCCGAAAUACAUUGGCGGUCUCGCUGCAGCCUCCAUUGCGUAGUAGCUAACACCUCGCAACUGGAACGCGGCGCGGCCAUGCCGUAAAACCCCAACUUCUGAAUGUUGACCUCGGAUCAGGUAGGAAUACCCGCUGAACUUAAGCAUAUCAUAAAGGCGGAGGAA